UCCAGACUCCUACGGGAGGCAGCAGUGGGGGAUAUUGCACAAUGGGGGAAACCCUGAUGCAGCGACGCCGCGUGGGCGAAGAAGUAUUUCGGUAUGUAAAGCCCUAUCAGCAGGGAAGAAGAAAUGACGGUACCUGAGUAAGAAGCACCGGCUAAAUACGUGCCAGCAGCCGCGGUAAUACGUAUGGUGCAAGCGUUAUCCGGAUUUACUGGGUGUAAAGGGAGCGUAGACGGCGGUGCAAGCCAGAUGUGAAAGCCCGGGGCUCAACCCCGGGACUGCAUUUGGAACUGUGCUGCUAGAGUGUCGGAGAGGCAGGCGGAAUUCCUAGUGUAGCGGUGAAAUGCGUAGAUAUUAGGAGGAACACCAGUGGCGAAGGCGGCCUGCUGGACGAUGACUGACGUUGAGGCUCGAAAGCGUGGGGAGCAAACAGGAUUAGAUACCCCGGUAUC
rnacentral:rRNA from 1 species